rnacentral:rRNA from 1 species
GACGAACGCUGGCGGCGUGCCUAAUACAUGCAAGUCGUGCGGACCUUUUAAAAGCUUGCUUUUAAAAGGUUAGCGGCGGACGGGUGAGUAACACGUGGGCAACCUGCCUGUAAGACUGGGAUAACGCCGGGAAACCGGGGCUAAUACCAGAUAGUUUUUUCCUCCGCAUGGAGGAAAAAGGAAAGGCGGCUUCGGCUGCCACUUACAGAUGGGCCCGCGGCGCAUUAGCUAGUUGGCGGGGUAACGGCCCACCAAGGCAACGAUGCGUAGCCGACCUGAGAGGGUGAUCGGCCACAUUGGGACUGAGACACGGCCCAAACUCCUACGGGAGGCAGCAGUAGGGAAUCUUCCGCAAUGGACGAAAGUCUGACGGAGCAACGCCGCGUGAGUGAAGAAGGCCUUCGGGUCGUAAAACUCUGUUGCCGGGGAAGAACAAGUGCCGUUCGAACAGGGCGGCGCCUUGACGGUACCCGGCCAGAAAGCCACGGCUAACUAC